ACCAAAUGAGCCCACCGCCACGCCUGGCCGCGGGUGGUUGGAUGAUGGCGGCGGUCACAUAGCGCGUGCCGAGCAACGGCAGUGAGUAUAGGAAGCAACAUUUGUACAUGCUCCGUUCCAGAAUAUGCAGAGAAGAUGGUCACCGCAAUUGAUGAAGAACGAGUUGAUGGAAAUUAGAUUGGUGGAGCGGCCACAUGUAUUGCGAGAAAUGUUCCUCAUGUGAGUCCCAGAUCAGACCGCGUAAAACGAAGCGUGCAGUUUUUUGGAGCCUA